GGCUAGCUCAGUUCGUAGAGCAUGAGACACUUCAUCUCAGGGUUGUGAGUUCGAGCCCCACAUUAUGCA
rnacentral:tRNA from 1 species